rnacentral:rRNA from 1 species
CCAUAUGGUCGACCUGCAGGCGGCCGCGAAUUCACUAGUGAUUAGAGUUUGAUCAUGGCUCAGAACGAAUGCUGGCGGCAGGCUUAACACAUGCAAGUCGAGCGCCCCGCAAGGGGAGCGGCGCACGGGUGAGUAACGCGUGGGAACAUGCCCUUAGGUACGGAAUAGCCUCGGGAAACUGGGAUUAAUACCGUAUAUGGAGAAAUCUGAAAGAUUUAUCGCCUAAGGAUUGGCCCGCGUUAGAUUAGCUUGUUGGUGAGGUAAUGGCUCACCAAGGCGACGAUCUAUAGCUGGUCUGAGAGGAUGAUCAGCCACACUGGGACUGAGACACGGCCCAGACUCCUACGGGAGGCAGCAGUGGGGAAUAUUGGACAAUGGGCGCAAGCCUGAUCCAGCCAUGCCGCGUGAGUGAUGAAGGCCUUCGGGUUGUAAAGCUCUUUAAUCGAAUUCCCGCGGCCGCCAUGGCGGCCG